GACGAACGCUGGCGGCGUGCCUAAUACAUGCAAGUAGAACGCUGAAGGAGGAGCUUACUUCUCUGGAUGAGUUGCGAACGGGUGAGUAACGCGUAGGUAACCUGCCUGGUAGCGGGGGAUAACUAUUGGAAACGAUAGCUAAUACCGCAUAAGAGUAGAUGUUGCAUGACAUUUACCUAAAAGGUGCAAUUGCACCACUACCAGAUGGACCUGCGUUGUAUUAGCUAGUUGGUGGGGUAACGGCUUACCAAGGCGACGAUAAAUAGCCGACCUGAGAGGGUGAUCGGCCACACUGGGACUGGAACACGGCCCAGACUCCUACGGGAGGCAGCAGUAGGGAAUCUUCGGCAAUGGACGGAAGUCUGACCGAGCAACGCCGCGUGAGUGAAGAAGGUUUUCGGAUCGUAAAGCUCUGUUGUAAGAGAAGAACGAGUGUGAGAGUGGAAAGUUCACACUGUGACGGUAUCUUACCAGAAAGGGACGGCUAACUACGUGCCAGCCGCCGCAGUAA
rnacentral:rRNA from 1 species